rnacentral:rRNA from 1 species
CUAAGAGCAAAUGGUGGAUGCCUUGGCUAGUAGAGGCGAUGAAAGACGUGCCAGGCUGCGAUAAGUCUCGGGGAGCCGUCAAGGGGCUUUGAUCCGGGAAUUUCUGAAUGGGGCAACCCAGUAUAUAGUGAUAUAUACUACCGCAAUGCGGAGCGAACGUUGGGAAUUGAAACAUCUUAGUACCAACAGGAAAAGAAAUCAAACGAGAUUACGCUAGUAGCGGCGAGCGAAAGCGUAAGAGGGCAAACCACUAGCUUGCUAGUGGGGUUGUAGGACUGCAAUAUAGACUUAAACAAUCUAAUAGAAUAAGUUGGAAAGCUUAAGCAUAGAGGGUGAUACUCCCGUAUAUGAAAGUGCGUUUAUACUUAGCAGUAUCCUGAGUAGGGCGGGACACGUGUAAUCCUGUCCGAAGCUGGGUAGACCACUAUCCAACCCUAAAUACUACUACUAGACCGAUAGUGCACAAGUACCGUGAGGGAAAGGUGAAAAGAACUGAGGUGAUCAGAGUGAAAUAGAACCUGAAACCAUUUGCUUACAAUCAUUCAGAGCCCUAUGAUUUAUCAGGGUGAUGGACUGCCUUUUGCAUAAUGAGCCUGCGAGUUGUGGUGUCUGGCAAGGUUAAGGAAACCCGGAGCCGUAGCGAAAGCGAGUCUUAAUAGGGCGUAUAGUCAGAUGCUGCAGACCCGAAACGAUGUGAUCUAUCCAUGAGCAGGUUGAAACUGGUGUAAGAGCCAGUGGAGGACCGAACAGACGGCCGUUGAAAAGGCUCCUGAUGACUUGUGGAUAGGGGUGAAAGGCCAAUCAAACAUCGUGAUAGCUGGUUCUCUCCGAAAUAUAUUUAGGUAUAGCGUUGUGUAGUAACUUUGUGAGGUAGAGCACUGAAUGGGCUAGGGCAUACACCAAUGUACCAAACCCUAUCAAACUCCGAAUGCGCAAAGUGUAAUCACAGCAGUCAGGCGGCGAGUGAUAAAAUCCGUCGUCGAGAGGGGAACAACCCAGACUAACAGCUAAGGUCCCUAAAUCUCAUUUAAGUGGAAAACGAUGUGGAGUUACUGAAACAACCAGGAGGUUGGCUUAGAAGCAGCCAUCCUUUAAAGAAAGCGUAAUAGCUCACUGGUCUAGUGAUUCUGCGCGGAAAAUAUAACGGGGCUAAAAUGAGUACCGAAGCUUUAGACUUAGUUUUUAACUAAGUGGUAGGAGAGCGUUCUAUUCAGCGUUGAAGGUAUACCGGUAAGGAGUGCUGGAGCGGAUAGAAGUGAGCAUGCAGGCAUGAGUAGCGAUAAAAGGGGUGAGAAUCCCCUUCGCCGUAAACCCAAGGUUUCCUACGCGAUGCUCGUCAUCGUAGGGUUAGUCGGGUCCUAAGCAAAGUCCGAAAGGGGUAUGCGAUGGAAAAUUGGUUAAUAUUCCAAUACCAAUUAUUAUGUGCGAUGGAAGGACGCUUAAAGUUAGUGGAGCUAGCGGAUGGAAGUGCUAGUCUAAGGGCGUAGGUUGAGUUAUAGGCAAAUCCGUAACUCUCUAUCCGAGACCUCAAAGGCUCUUGACGCUCUUCGGAGUAGAUGGAGAAUCCAUGAUACUAUCGAGCCAAGAAAAGUUUCUAAGUUUAGUAAUAAUUGCCCGUACCGUAAACCGACACAGGUGGGUGGGAUGAGUAUUCUAAGGCGCGUGGAAGAACUCUCUUUAAGGAACUCUGCAAAAUAGCACCGUAUCUUCGGUAUAAGGUGUGCCUAACUUUGUAUUAAGAUUUACUCCCAAAGCAAAGAAGGUUACAACAAAGAGUCCCUCCCGACUGUUUACCAUAAACACAGCACUCUGCUAACUCGUAAGAGGAUGUAUAGGGUGUGACGCCUGCCCGGUGCUCGAAGGUUAAUUGAUGGGGUUAGCAUUAGCGAAGCUCUUGAUCGAAGCCCGAGUAAACGGCGGCCGUAACUAUAACGGUCCUAAGGUAGCGAAAUUCCUUGUCGGUUAAAUACCGACCUGCAUGAAUGGCGUAACGAGAUGGGAGCUGUCUCAAAGAGGGAUCCAGUGAAAUUGUAGUGGAGGUGAAAAUUCCUCCUACCCGCGGCAAGACGGAAAGACCCCGUGGACCUUUACUACAGCUUGACACUGCUAUUUGGAUAAAGAUGCGCAGGAUAGGUGGGAGGCUUUGAUCCAUAGACUCUGGUUUAUGGUGAGCCAUUGUUGAGAUACCACUCUUCUUUAUUUGGGUAGCUAACUAGCCUAAGUUAUCCUUAGGUAGGACAAUGUCUGGUGGGUAGUUUGACUGGGGCGGUCGCCUCCCAAAGUGUAACGGAGGCUUACAAAGGUUGGCUCAGAACGGUUGGAAAUCGUUCGUAGAGUAUAAAGGCAUAAGCCAGCUUAACUGCGAGACGUACAUGUCAAGCAGAGACGAAAGUCGGUCUUAGUGAUCCGGUGGUUCUGUGUGGAAGGGCCAUCGCUCAAAGGAUAAAAGGUACCCCGGGGAUAACAGGCUGAUCUCCCCCAAGAGCUCACAUCGACGGGGAGGUUUGGCACCUCGAUGUCGGCUCAUCGCAUCCUGGGGCUGGAGCAGGUCCCAAGGGUAUGGCUGUUCGCCAUUUAAAGCGGUACGCGAGCUGGGUUCAGAACGUCGUGAGACAGUUCGGUCCCUAUCUGCCGUGGGCGUAAGAAGAUUGAGGAGAGUUGACCCUAGUACGAGAGGACCGGGUUGAACCAGCCACUGGUGUAUCAGUUGUUCUGCCAAGAGCAUCGCUGAGUAGCUAAGCUGGGAUGUGAUAAGAGCUGAAAGCAUCUAAGCUCGAAGCCAACUCCAAGAUGAAUCUUCUUUUAAGAGCUCUAGUAGACUACUAGUUUGAUAGGCUGGGUGUGUAAUGGAUGAGAGUCCUUUAGCUGACCAGUACUAAUAGCUCGUUUGCUUAUCUUA